rnacentral:rRNA from 1 species
UGUCGUCAGCUCGUGUUGUGAAAUGUUGGGUUAAGUCCCGCAACGAGCGCAACCCUUAUCCUUUGUUGCCAGCGGUCCGGCCGGGAACUCAAAGGAGACUGCCAGUGAUAAACUGGAGGAAGGUGGGGAUGACGUCAAGUCAUCAUGGCCCUUACGACCAGGGCUACACACGUGCUACAAUGGCGCAUACAAAGAGAAGCGACCUCGCGAGAGCAAGCGGACCUCAUAAAGUGCGUCGUAGUCCGG